rnacentral:rRNA from 1 species
GAUGAACGCUGGCGGCGUGCCUAAUACAUGCAAGUCGAGCGAACGGACGAGAAGCUUGCUUCUCUGAUGUUAGCGGCGGACGGGUGAGUAACACGUGGAUAACCUACCUAUAAGACUGGGAUAACUUCGGGAAACCGGAGCUAAUACCGGAUGAUAUUUUGAACCACAUGGUUCAAAAGUGAAAGACGGUCUUGCUGUCACUUAUAGAUGUAUCCGCGCUGCAUUAGCUAGUUGGUAAGGUAACGGCUUACCAAGGCAACGAUGCAUAGCCGACCUGAGAGGGUGAUCGGCCACACUGGAACUGAGACACGGUCCAGACUCCUACGGGAGGCAGCAGUAGGGAAUCUUCCGCAAUGGGCGAAAGCCUGACGGAGCAACGCCGCGUGAGUGAUGAAGGUCUUCGGAUCGUAAAACUCUGUUAUUAGGGAAGAACAUAUGUGUAAGUAACUGUGCACAUCUUGACGGUACCUAAUCAGAAAGCCACGGCUAACUACGUG